UAAUACAGAGGGUGCGAGCGUUGUCCGGAAUCACUGGGCGUAAAGGGCGCGUAGGCGGCCUGAUAAGUCGGGGGUGAAAUCCUGUGGCUCAACCACAGGGCUGCCUCCGGGACUGUCGGGCUCGAGCACAGUAGAGGCAGGUGGAAUUCCCGGUGUAGCGGUGGAAUGCGUAGAGAUCGGGAAGAACAUCGGUGGCGAAGGCGGCCUGCUGGGCUGUUGCUGACGCUGAGGCGCGACAGCGUGGGGAGCAAACAGGAUUAGAUACCCUGGUAGUCCACGCCGUAAACGAUGGGCACUAGGCGUCGGGGGGAGCGACCCUCCCGGUGCCGUCGCUAACGCAGUAAGUGCCCCGCCUGGGGAGUACGGCCGCAAGGCUG
rnacentral:rRNA from 1 species